rnacentral:misc_RNA from 1 species
GAAGUGCGAUAAGUAAUGUGAAUUGCAAAAUUCCGUGAAUCAUCGAAUCUUUGAACGCAAAUUGCACUCUCUGGCAACCCGGGGAGUAUGCCUGUUUGAGGGUCAGUGUUAAUAAAAAUCGGUGCGUUGCAAUUUUUUGUGACGUUCUGGAGUUUGAGUUAUCUUAACUUGGUUCUAAGAGGCUUAAAAUUGACCUUUUUUGUGCAUUUUAGACGUACAUAAAUUUUUUUUUAUUCGUCCAUUCUAAUGCCAAAAUCUAUUAGAUGCGACCAUAUCUUGUGGUUCCGUGUCUAUAAAUUUUUCAUGAUUUGACCUCAAAUCAGGUAGGAACACCCGCUGAACUUAA